GACGAACGCUGGCGGCGUGCCUAAUACAUGCAAGUAGAACGCUGAAGCUUGGUGCUUGCACCGAGCGGAUGAGUUGCGAACGGGUGAGUAACGCGUAGGUAACCUGCCUGGUAGCGGGGGAUAACUAUUGGAAACGAUAGCUAAUACCGCAUAAGAGUAGAUGUUGCAUGACAUUUGCUUAAAAGGUGCAAUUGCAUCACUACCAGAUGGACCUGCGUUGUAUUAGCUAGUUGGUGAGGUAACGGCUCACCAAGGCAACGAUACAUAGCCGACCUGAGAGGGUGAUCGGCCACACUGGGACUGAGACACGGCCCAGACUCCUACGGGAGGCAGCAGUAGGGAAUCUUCGGCAAUGGACGGAAGUCUGACCGAGCAACGCCGCGUGAGUGAAGAAGGUUGUCGGAUCGUAAAGCUCUGUUGUAAGAGAAGAACGAGUGUGAGAGAGGAAAGUUCACACUGUGACGGUAUCUUACCAGAAAGGGACGGCUAACUACGUG
rnacentral:rRNA from 1 species